rnacentral:rRNA from 1 species
UUUGAGAGGCAAUAAGACUGAAGCUUUUCUGAUCCCUUCUGAUCUCAGAAGCUAAGCAGGGUGAGGCCUGGAUAGUACUUGGAUGGGAGACCACCUAGGAAGACCAGGUGCUGUAGGCG